UACGAAGGGGGCUAGCGUUGUUCGGAAUUACUGGGCGUAAAGCGCACGUAGGCGGCUUCUUAAGUCAGGGGUGAAAUCCUGGAGCUCAACUCCAAAACUGCCUUUGAUACUGAGAAGCUUGAGUCCGGGAGAGGUGAGUGGAACUGCGAGUGUAGAGGUGAAAUUCGUAGAUAUUCGCAAGAACACCAGUGGCGAAGGCGGCUCACUGGCCCGGUACUGACGCUGAGGUGCGAAAGCGUGGGGAGCAAACAGG
rnacentral:rRNA from 1 species